UACGGAGGGAGCUAGCGUUAUUCGGAAUUACUGGGCGUAAAGCGCACGUAGGCGGCUUUGUAAGUUAGGGGUGAAAGCCCGGAGCUCAACUCCGGAACUGCCUUUAAGACUGCAUCGCUUGAAUCCAGGAGAGGUGAGUGGAAUUCCGAGUGUAGAGGUGAAAUUCGUAGAUAUUCGGAAGAACACCAGUGGCGAAGGCGGCUCACUGGACUGGUAUUGACGCUGAGGUGCGAAAGCGUGGGGAGCAAACAGG
rnacentral:rRNA from 1 species